rnacentral:rRNA from 1 species
CAAUGUAUGCUUUGGAAACUGUUAGACUUGAGUGCAGAAGGGGAGAGUGGAAUUCCAUGUGUAGCGGUGAAAUGCGUAGAUAUAUGGAGGAACACCGGUGGCGAAAGCGGCUNUCUGGUCUGUCACUGACGCUGAGGCUNGAAAGCGUGGGUAGCGAACAGGAUUAGAUACCCUGGUAGUNCACGCCGUAAACGCUGAGUGCUAGGUGUUAGGUCCUUUCCGGGACUUAGUGCCGACGCUAACGCAUUAAGCACUCCGCCUGGGGAGUACGACCGCAAGGUUGAAACUCAAAGGAAUUGACGGGGGCCCGCACAAGCGGUGGAGCAUGUGGUUUAAUUCGAAGCAACGCGAAGAACCUUACCAGGUCUUGACAUCCCGAUGCCCGCUCUAGAGAUAGAGUUUUUCUUCGGAACAUCGGAGACAGGUGGUGCAUGGUUGUCGUCAGCUCGUGUCGUGAGAUGUUGGGUUAAGUCCCGCAACGAGCGCAACCCUUAUUGUUAGUUGCCAUCAUUAAGUUGGGCACUCUAGCGAGACUGCCGGUAAUAAACCGGAGGAAGGUGGGGAUGACGUCAAAUCAUCAUGCCCCUUAUGACCUGGGCUACACACGUGCUACAAUGGUUGGUACAACGAGUCGCAAGCCGGUGACGGCAAGCUAAUCUCUGAAAGCCAAUCUCAGUUCGGAUUGUAGGCUGCAACUCGCCUACAUGAUGUCGGAAUCGCUAGUAAUCGCGGAUCAGCACGCCGCGGUGAAUACGUUCCCGGGCCUUGUACACACCGCCCGUCACACCACGAGAGUUUGUAACACCCAAAGUCGGUGAGGUAACCAUUUAUGGGGCCAGCCGCCUAAGGUGGGANGGA